UACGGAGGAUGCAAGCGUUGUUCGGAAUUAUUGGGCGUAAAGGGCGCGUAGGCGGUGCGGUAAGUCACCUGUGAAAUCUCCUGGCUCAACUGGGAGCUUGCAGGCGAAACUGCCGUGCUGGAGUGUGGGAGAGGUGCGUGGAAUUCCUGGUGUAGCGGUGAAAUGCGUAGAUAUCAGGAGGAACACCUGUGGCGAAAGCGGCGCACUGGACCACAACUGACGCUGAGGCGCGAAAGCUAGGGGAGCAAACAGG
rnacentral:rRNA from 1 species